UACGUAGGGGACUAGCGUUGUUCGGAAUUACUGGGCGUAAAGCGCACGUAGGCGGAUUUGUUAGUCAGGGGUGAAAUCCCGGGGCUCAACCUCGGAACUGCCUUUGAUACUGCAAGUCUCGAGUCCGAUAGAGGUGGGUGGAAUUCCUAGUGUAGAGGUGAAAUUCGUAGAUAUUAGGAAGAACACCGGUGGCGAAGGCGGCCCACUGGAUCGGUACUGACGCUGAGGUGCGAAAGCGUGGGGAGCGAACAGG
rnacentral:rRNA from 1 species